UGGGGAAUAUUGCGCAAUGGACGAAAGUCUGACGCAGCAACGCCGCGUGAGUGAAGAAGGCCUUCGGGUUGUAAAGCUCUGUCAGCAGGGACGAAAAAACAUGAGACAGCUCAUGUCUUGACGGUACCUGCGGAGGAAGCACCGGCUAACUCUGUGCCAGCAGCCGCGGUAAUACAGAGGGUGCAAGCGUUGCUCGGAAUUAUUGGGCGUAAAGGGGAGGUAGGUGGUCUUGUUUGUCUGAGGUGAAAGCCCCGAGCUUAACUUGGGAAGUGCCUCGGAAACGGCAAGACUAGAGUUCUGGAGAGGGUCGCGGAAUUCCCGGUGUAGCGGUGAAAUGCGUAGAUAUCGGGAGGAACAUCAGAGGCGAAAGCGGCGGCCUGGACAGAUACUGACACUCAAC
rnacentral:rRNA from 1 species